rnacentral:rRNA from 1 species
CCUACGGGGGGCAGCAGUCGAGAAUCAUUCACAAUGGGGGAAACCCUGAUGGUGCGACGCCGCGUGGGGGAAUGAAGGUCUUCGGAUUGUAAACCCCUGUCAUGUGGGAGCAAAUUAAAAAGAUAGUACCACAAGAGGAAGAGACGGCUAACUCUGUGCCAGCAGCCGCGGUAAUACAGAGGUCUCAAGCGUUGUUCGGAAUCACUGGGCGUAAGGCGUGCGUAGGCUGUUUCGUAAGUCGUGUGUGAAAGGCGCGGGCUCAACCCGCGGACGGCACAUGAUACUGCGAGACUAGAGUAAUGGAGGGGGAACCGGAAUUCUCGGUGUAGCAGUGAAAUGCGUAGAUAUCGAGAGGAACACUCGUGGCGAAGGCGGGUUCCUGGACAUUAACUGACGCUGAGGCACGAAGGCCAGGGGAGCGAAAGGGAUUAGAUACCCGGUAGUC